CCUGGCUUCACGCCAUCACACCUGUAUGAUCCAUUCUCAGUGCUGGGACACAGCUCUUCCAGACAAGCAAGGCCCCUGUUUUCAAGGUGUCAAGACGCAGACAACAAACUCACAAACAAACCAGUGAAACGAACGGUGAUAUCUGUUGUGAAGGCAAUUGAAAGACCCCAAUGCCAAGUAACCGACAUGGUGUAAAUAGUGGCAGAGUGUCCUGGGCAGAGAGAACAGCAAGGGCAAAGGUCCUGGGGCAGGAAUGGAUGCAGAGUGCUAAGGGGACAGAAAGAAGGCUGCUGUGCUGGAGCGUCCCCAGGGAGGAGCGGUGGGCUGAGGGAGGGGGUGAGUUCAGAGAGGCAGCCCGGCAGAUCUUGCAGGGCCUGUGGAGCUUAUUCUAAGUGUGAUGGGCAGCUCCUCCCAGCUGGGAGAAUUAAAUGGAGUAAUGAAGCACAGCGCUUGCACCAGGGUUGGUGCCAGGUGACUGCUGUCUGUGCCCUCACCCCAUGACAGACGCACCAUGGCUGAGACAUUAGGGUCACAUGGUGACUUGGAGCCUCAGGUCCUAGGAACUGCCCGGACGCAACUUCAGAUCGUUGGCUGGGAUCCAUUCAAAGACGUCAGGAGGUGUUUAUUCAGAUCACUGGCUUCUCUCUGCACCGCCCCCGACCCUCACCCCCCACCCCCGUCAUCCCCCAACACGGGGCCACGGUAAGGCAGUUCUGUCUGUUUCCUCAAAUCUAAAACACAGCCGGGCUUUUCAGGGCUCUAAGGCCCCCGAGUGUGGUGGGUGCCCCGAGAAGGACAGGGCAGGGAUGUCUGGGGAUCCGGUUCUCUCCCGCUUGCAGGUGUGGCUGGCGUGCGCGUUGGGAGCGCCUGCUUGCCCCUCCUCCGGGGGGAAGGACUGGCCGUCGUCCCUGCUCCGGGGAUGCGGGAUGCGGGUGCGCCGAGCCCUCGGGAGGCCUGGCUCUGGUGUGGGCUGCGGGGAGAAGGCGCGGGAAGGAAGGAAAGAGGCGAAACGGUGCGGGAGGGAGGCGGCCGUUGCCAUGGAAGGAGCUGCAAGCCUCCCUGCAGACCGCGAACGGAGCCCCCGCACCCCCGAGGCUGGCCUCUGGCCUCCCGCCCCAGCCCGGCCGGGGGCCCCUCCCCGCUCCGCCGUCCGCCUUGGGUACAGAAGCGGCGAGUGGCCCCUUUCCAGGAGGCCUGUUUACCAGCACGACAACAGCAAAUUAGUGCGCUUAAGAGGCAUUCAGCGUUUAUCCCGGCAAACAUGCGCAGCGCGAAGGGGGCCUGCAAGGCCUGCUCCCCGGAAUCUACUGAAAUGGGUCUGCUGUGCAUCUUAAUCGACUUCCUUCCACCCACCACAUUAAAUGCAUUUAAUCUACUCUUGCAAAUGGCUAAUUUUGAAAAUCCGCUUAUCAGAAUUAGGUCCUCAACAUCCAUAUUUAUUUACUUUUCAUUUUCAUAAUCUUUUUUUUUUUUUCCAUGUGUGUGACUGAAUUCCGUUUACUAUUGUCUGGCUCUCUCUCACACGUCCCGGGGGGCCGGGGCAGGGGAGAAGGGCCAGGUUAGGAGCAAACUGGAAAUGGAAACCUGGCAGGGAUAAAAGGCAUGGGCUCGGGAUUUGAGGACUGGGAGGCUCUUCCCCGGUGGCAGCAUCUUCAGGAAAUCACCAAGAGCUGAGGCUUGAGCAGAGCAGGUUUAAAAAGGCGAUGAGGAAGUCUUGCUGAAUCCCAGGCACCCGGGGCCUGCCUGGCAGGAAUCAGCAGCCGUGUCAGAAAUGUGCAAGAAAGUGGUUGGGAUCAGCUGUCUUCCCCAGCGCCCCCGGUGCCAGGCUCCGUGCUAAGCGCUUCACGUGGACCGGCACUCAUGCUCACGCCAGCCCUGCUCAGUGAAUGCCAGGCGCGUCUCGCAGACAAGAAGACUCCUGCUGCGGCUUAGACCCACAUUCACAUCCAGACUGCACGUCCUCCUCUGCAGCAUGUUGUCAAGCGUGCAAGGCACGUUUUUCCUAUGAGUGUGUAAGAAACACAAGUUUGUGUGUGCGGGACUCAGGCCUGUGAGAAACGCAGACCAAGGGAGAGAUGGGUGUUCAGAAUCUGGAAAAUGGCUCUCCAGGUCACAGCCUGUGCAGCCUCAAGUGUGAAUUCCGCAUGUGGCCUUCCUCACACCACGUUUGAGUUUUGCAAGUUUGCUAACAGCUGCUACAAAGCUAGGAAGAGCGGCCAGGCCUCUUGGCCUCUAAAGGACUUAUCACUCAAUGUUAAUUUUGUUGUUGCCAGUCCCUUAAUGAGCUUAUUUGGCACACAUCUAGAGCAAAAACCUGAAUUUCACUUCAUUUAAUUUACUUUCAACAUUGGCUGGGCACCUCCUAUUGGCCAAAUGAUGUUCUGCAGAAUACCUGGGUGGAAGGAUAAAUCCGAUCUGUUUCUAGCCUUGGGAAGCUCACAUUAACUGGAUUUUACAAGAAAGGCUCAGAACAACAAAGUGUUAACAUACGCAUACCAGACAAUUUUAUUUUCCCAAACAACUGCUAAAUUAUGUUGUAGCCAUCUUAGAUUUCCAGAUCUAUGGGAAUUUCUAAAGCAUAAGGCAUUAAUUACAUCCUGAUGGUUGAGAUUAGGGCUGAAUUGUCUGCAGACUUGAACUCAAACCUGCAGUUCUGCCACCUUCAAUUUACGACCUUGGGCACUUUGGAGCCUCAGUAUCCUCAUCUGUGUAAUGGGGAUUAUAUAAAUAUCUACCCAUAGGGCUCCGAAGAUUUAAAUUAAUGCUGUAAAUUAAUGUAGGUGGAGCCUUUAGUGAGGUAUUUGACAAAGGUCUACAUCUAACAACUAAAUAGUAAGCAUUAUGAUAUAUAAUCAUUUACUCAAACUCAGCAAAUAGAAUUCAAAGACAGAAAUAAACAUUGAUCAAAGAAAUGUUUUCCAACGUUCUGAGUAUGUUCGUGAGGCACCUGGAAAGCCACCGAAGCAGCCAGUGGGUCUUCAGGCCCUGCCGCCAGGUGCUGGCUGAAUGGCAAGGUGGACCAAUGAUUUACUGGGGCCCCUCCCUCGUUUCUCUGGCCCCCACCUUUUCCCCUUUCGACUUCCUGCCUCUCUCUAGAAUUACAUGAUAUGCCAAAGUAAAUUCCCUCAGACUUGCAAAUAGCCUAUACUUAAUCCCCCCCACCCCGCCCACCUGAGGAUAAAAACUCCUUGCAGAAGACAAAAUUUCCUCCCAUCCCGUGUUAGGGAUGUGUGGGCGCAUGUCUGCAGGAAGGGGAAGCCGUGGGAGUGUGUGUGUGUGUGUGUGUGUGUGUGUGUGUGUCGAUGCAGGAAGGAAGCGGGCGGAUGUGUGCGCAGGGAGACACCUGUGGGUGUGAGCGCGGGGAUUUGUGAAUGAACGAGCCUGUGUGUGCAGGGACUGGGUGUGUGGAAGGGGCGGUGGCCCAGAGAAAACCCAGGUCCUCCAGCACUCACUCUGGAUCAGGACCCCUUCCAUCUGAGCGAGCUGAGUAACGUGGGUGGAGCGGGCUCAUGGGAUGGCUCAUGCCCUCUAAGACGAGGUCAGAGAGAGAGACUGCAGGACCAAGGACCCAGAUGGGCAAAAGGGCGGAAGGUCGGCCACAAGGCCAUGUGGGGUGUUCUGGGCGGAUCUGAGUGCGUGUUUCCCGGGUGGUGGAUGUGGACUGGCUUUGGAGAUGGGCAAGCUGGCAGGUGAGGGGGCAGAGCUGAGUGGACACCAGAGAGGAUGACCCACUCAGGGGAUUCUGCCAGCCGUGUCUGGGGCUGCAGACACAGUGGUUUCAACAGAGCAGCAGGGGUGGACAGAGGUCACAGAGGGAGGGAAAACAAUCUCAGAGAGAGGGU
ensembl:lncRNA